UACUAACGCUGGCGGCGUGCCUAAUACAUGCAAGUCGAGCGGACGAAUCGAAAGCUUGCUUUUGAUUCGUUAGCGGCGGACGGGUGAGUAACACGUGGGCAACCUGCCCUGUAGACGGGGAUAACACCGAGAAAUCGGUGCUAAUACCGGAUAACACGAAAUGUCGCAUGACGUUUCGUUGAAAGACGGCGCAAGCUGUCGCUACAGGAUGGGCCCGCGGCGCAUUAGCUAGUUGGUGAGGUAACGGCUCACCAAGGCGACGAUGCGUAGCCGACCUGAGAGGGUGAUCGGCCACACUGGGACUGAGACACGGCCCAGACUCCUACGGGAGGCAGCAGUAGGGAAUCUUCCGCAAAGGACGAAAGUCUGACGGAGCAACGCCGCGUGAGCGAAGAAGGCCUUCGGGUCGUAAAGCUCUGUUGUUAGGGAAGAACAAGUAACGCAGUAACUGGCGUUACCGUGACGGUACCUAACGAGAAAGCCACGGCUAACUACGUG
rnacentral:rRNA from 1 species